GGGUCAGUAGGUUGGUCGUGCCACCGGUACGUACUGGUCUCACUGAUUCCUCCUUCCUGAAGAACCGUAAUGCCAUUAAUUUGGUGUUGCGGGGAAACAGGACGGUUACUUUGAAAAAAUUAGAGUGUUUAAAGCAAGCUAACGCUUGAAUACAUUAGCAUGGAAUAAUGAAAUAGGACGAUCGAUCCUAUUUUGUUGGUCUCUAGGAUUGACGUA
rnacentral:rRNA from 1 species